CACCAACUUGGGAAGGUCUUUUACCAGUGGUUCAAAAUACCAGCCACCACUUGUAUUGAGCAAGAAGAUGACCUAUCUCUUGAGGAGUCAGUGUACAUUAUCAGAGAACUGGCUGCUGAACUGGACAGAGUGGUACAGUCCAAGAAGUUAUCCUUGAUGACUCGAAAGAUUAAAAAUAAAGGAAGUAACAAAGAACAUGAAGAACAACAGUAUUAUAUUUUGCAGUGGGCAAAAGAUCUUGAGAACAUAAAGACAAAACAAAUGGACAAGAAAGAGACCUCCUCUGAGCAGUUUAACAAAGCAAAAAAAAUCUUGUCUGACUGGUUUUGGAAACUGAAAGAUUUGAAACAGAACUCAGUAUGUCCAAAGGGGGGAUGGGAAGAAACACUGAGGGAUCUUCACAAAGAGUGGAAGCAGGGAGAGUCCAGCAUGCUUCCAGUAAUGGACUGGAUGGUAUGGGCUGUUCUACAGUCAGAAUGCU